CCUACGGGAGGCUGCAGUGAGGCAUAUUGGUCAAUGGGCGGACGCCUGAACCAGCCAAGUCGCGUGCAGGAUGACGGCCCUACGGGUUGUAAACUGCUUUUAUACGGGAAUAACGCGCCUUACGUGUAGGGCUUUGCAUGUACCGUAUGAAUAAGGACCGGCUAAUUCCGUGCCAGCAGCCGCGGUAAUACGGCAGGUCCGGGCGUUAUCCGGAUUUAUUGGGUUUAAAGGGGGCGUCGGCCGCAUGUCAAGCGUGCUGUGAAAUGUCCGGGCUCAACCCGGGCCGUGCAGCGCGAACUGGCGUGCUUGAGUCCGCGGAAAGCAGGCGGAAUUCGUCGUGUAGCGGGGAAAUGCGUAGAUAUGACGAAGAACCCCGAUUGCGAAGGCAGCUUGCUGCAGCGGAACUGACGCUGAUGCUCGAAAGCGCGGGUAUCGAACAGGAUUAGAUACCCUUGUAGUC
rnacentral:rRNA from 1 species